rnacentral:rRNA from 1 species
CCUACGGGAGGCAGCAGUGAGGAAUAUUGGUCAAUGGCCGGAAGGCUGAACCAGCCAUGCCGCGUGAAGGUCAGUGCCCUAUGGGCGUUAAACUUCUUUUGUGCGGGAGCAAUAAUGGUCACGUGUGGCCAGACGAGAGUACCGUACGAAUAAGCAUCGGCUAACUCCGUGCCAGCAGCCGCGGUAAUACGGGGGAUGCAAGCGUUAUCCGGGUUUAUUGGGUUUAAAGGGUGCGUAGGCUGUGAGGUAAGUCAGCGGUGAAAUGCCCCCGCUCAACGGGGUGAAGUGCCAUUGAUACUGCCUGGCUGGAAUGCGGAUGCCGUGGGAGGAAUGUGUGGUGUAGCGGUGAAAUGCAUAGAUAUCACACAGAACACCGAUUGCGAAGGCAUCUCACGAAUCCGCGAUUGACGCUGAUGCACGAAAGCGUGGGUAUCAAACAGGAUUAGAUACCCUUGUAGUC